GACGAACGCUGGCGGCGUGCUUAACACAUGCAAGUCGAACGGAAAGGCCCUGCUUUUGUGGGGUGCUCGAGUGGCGAACGGGUGAGUAACACGUGAGUAACCUGCCCUGGACUUUGGGAUAACUUCAGGAAACUGGGGCUAAUACCGGAUAGGAGCUCCUGCUGCAUGGGGGGGGUUGGAAAGUUUCGGCGGUUGGGGAUGGACUCGCGGCUUAUCAGCUUGUUGGUGGGGUAGUGGCUUACCAAGGCUUUGACGGGUAGCCGGCCUGAGAGGGUGACCGGCCACAUUGGGACUGAGAUACGGCCCAGACUCCUACGGGAGGCAGAAGUGGGGAAUAUUGCACAAUGGGCGGAAGCCUGAUGCAGCAACGCCGCGUGCGGGAUGACGGCCUUCGGGUUGUAAACCGCUUUCGCCUGUGACGAAGCGUGAGUGACGGUAAUGGGUAAAGAAGCACCGGCUAACUACGUG
rnacentral:rRNA from 1 species